rnacentral:rRNA from 1 species
AGUGGCAGACGGGUGAGUAACGCGUGGGAACGUACCUUUCACUACGGAAUAGCUCCGGGAAACUGGUGGUAAUACCGUAUACGCCCUAAGGGGGAAAGAUUUAUCGGUGAAAGAUCGGCCCGCGUUGGAUUAGCUAGUUGGUGAGGUAAUGGCUCACAAAGGCGACGAUCCAUAGCUGGUCUGAGAGGAUGAUCAGCCACACUGGGACUGAGACACGGCCCAGACUCCUACGGGAGGCAGCAGUGGGGAAUCUUGCACAAUGGGCGAAAGCCUGAUGCAGCCAUGCCGCGUGAAUGAUGAAGGCCUUAGGGUUGUAAAAUUCUUUCGUCAGGGAUGAUAAUGACCGUACCUGAAGAAGAAGCCCCGGCUAACUUCGUGCCAGCAGCCGCGGUAAUACGAAGGGGGCUAGCGUUGUUCGGAAUUACUGGGCGUAAAGCGCACGUAGGCGGACUUUUAAGUCAGGUGUGAAAUCCCGGGGCUCAACCUCGGAACUGCAUUUGAAACUGGAAGUCUUGAGACCAGGAGAGGUUAGCGGAAUACCGAGUGUAGAGGUGAAAUUCGUAGAUAUUCGGUGGAACACCAGUGGCGAAGGCGGCUAACUGGACUGGUACUGACGCUGAGGUGCGAAAGUGUGGGGAGCAAACAGGAUUAGAUACCCUGGUAGUCCACACCGUAAACGAUGAGAGCUAGUUGUUGGCA